CGACGGUGGGUGGUGAAGGAGAAAGGAGUCGGCGGUUAUGGAAAAAUUUGGGAGAAAAAAUGUAAGGUUUGGGGGUUUUAUUUGCUGGAAAGGGGUGUUUGGCUGCAGAGAUAUGGCAUUCUGGGCUGGAAUAGAACGUUUGGCAGCAUGGAUAGGGUUGUUUUGGUGCACACUUUCUGUCUUUUUUUUCUUCGUAUUUUCGCUCUAUUUCACCUAGAUGGAAG
rnacentral:lncRNA from 1 species